rnacentral:rRNA from 1 species
UGGGAACCUGUCGCGGAGUGGGGAACAACCGCUGGAAACGGCGGCUAAUACCGCACACUCCCUGAGGGGCAAAGGCUUUCGAGCCGCUUUGCGAGGGGCCCGCGUCUGAUUAGCUUGUUGGUGGGGUAAUGGCCUACCAAGGCUUUGACGGGUAGCCGGCCUGAGAGGGUGACCGGCCACACUGGGACUGAGACACGGCCCAGACUCCUACGGGAGGCAG